rnacentral:rRNA from 1 species
GGUUAAGCUACAAAGGGCACACGGUGGAUGCCUUGGCGCCAGGAGCCGACGAA